rnacentral:rRNA from 1 species
UACAGAGGUGGCAAGCGUUGUUCGGAAUUACUGGGCGUAAAGGGCGCGUAGGCGGCCUUCUAAGUCAGACGUGAAAUCCCCCGGCUUAACCUGGGAACUGCGUCUGACACUGGGAGGCUUGAGUAUGGGAGAGGGAUGUAGAAUUCCAGGUGUAGCGGUGAAAUGCGUAGAUAUCAAGAGGAAUACCUGAGGUGAAGACGGGUUGCUAGGCCGACACUGACGCUGAAGCGCGAAAGCCAGGGGAGCAAACGGG